rnacentral:misc_RNA from 1 species
UUUUUUUUUUUUUUUAAUCUCUUUACCAUCAUUUUAUCUGGCUUUGUGGUGGUGCGUUAUUUUGCUUGUUGAUUAAUUGGAUACCUCUCUGUUUCAACCUUCUUCUUUUAGCAUUAGCAUUGUGGAAAGUGGAAAGCAAUUGCUGUAAUUAAAUUAAGUUUAUUAUAUUAUAUGAUUUAAAUUAAGUUUACUAUGUUGCAGAAAGUUACAAUGGUGAUUAAGGUAGAUCUUAGCUGCAAGAAAUGCUGCAAGAAAAUCAAGAAAAUACUCUGUGAAAUUCCUCGUGAGUCUGUCUUGUUAUAAAUAGCUUGUAUGCUAGACAGUAUAGAGAGAAUGAAUUCCUAUAUUGUUAAAAUAUAAGGGAAUGA